GAGCCAUCUGCAACGAGGACAGAGGAGAAGGCAAGUUAAAACUCUCUUCAGACAAACGCAGCUCUAUGCCUGGUGGAGCCCCUGUAAGCGUCCUGUCCCUGGAGAGCAGCCGCACGCCCGCUGGCCCCAAGGGCUCUAGCUGUUUUCCAGGUGAGGAGCAGCCUGUCUGCUCUCAGAGGCGGCAGUCACUGCCUGCCCAUGGCCUCUCCUGACAGGACGGCCUCAGACUCACAGAGGCUGCAAGCAAGCGCCCCGUUUCCUGGAAUGCCCGCCACCCGCUUUGGGACUACUGGCCAUGGGGGGCAAAGGCCAAUGAGCGUGCUGAGGCCUGACUCUGCGAGAGGCUGGAAGAUGCCGCCUGUUCACACAGCUUCCUCGUGGGCACUCCCGGGCUAGCAAGCUGGGCCCCCUGGUUUUUAAUAGGCCUCUAAGGUUUUAACACCUGAUUCUCAAGGGAAGCAGGAAACACAGGAAUUGUUAGUUCUGCUAAACACAGCUCCAAGGCAUUCAUAGCCGUUGGUGUCCAGAAGUAUAUUCCGUGUCAGGGGUUAAAUUCAUUUUGAGUUCAGCAACUACCCGAACUCUCUACUUCAGAUUCUUGCUAACUUUUGGCUCUUUUUGCUGUGGUCCAACAGAGCACAGAAGGAGAGGGAGCAGCAUGGCCCCAGGACAGGGCAGGACAGGAGAGGGCGAGCCUCGGGGGAGGAACCCGGAUGCCCAACGGGCUGCUGGCGCCUCGUCCUCAUCAAGAGCCCGGUGUGAGGACGUGAACCCAGAGCUGGAGGGGCAGAGAGCCAGCAGCCAGAGGAGCAGGGCACGGCAAGGGGCAGGGGCGCUGAGGACGCAGCCUGCCCUCCGCAGAGGCCGGGCGGGGGCUCCUCGGUGAGGCCAGCUCGGGGAGCAGGAGAGCCGCGAGGAGCCUGGCUGGCACACGCUCUCCGGAGCAGACGCGGAGACAAGAGGGGCGAGGCGAGUGCCAGGCCUGGAGCUGGCUUUGCUCAGGCCUCUCUGAGGACACAUCAGAGCCUGGCCAGGGCUAGGGUCCUGAGGGUGGUGAAGCCAAGGCUGCUGAAGAGAAAGGCUGUCCCCCCAAAGCCAAGACCCCCAUCAUCUAGCCCCCCUGCCCCCAGGCCACGCAGACCUGGCCUGGAGCUUUCAGGAUGCGCACAGAGGAGCUGAGGAGAAGCGGGAGGCGAGGGCAGUCCACAGAGGCAGCACGGUCAGAGGCGUCCUCCCACCCAUCCUGUGUAUCGCUGCCCUGGCCGAGUUGCCUUCAACCUGUCCUCUGGCCACUGCAGGAAGCUUCGAGCCAGGACGGCUGGUAUGUCAGUGAACACAGUUUCAGAACACCUGCAAGGACAGCAUCCAGGAGGCGCUCUCGGCCCCGGUGGGCUCCAGGGUGCCCAGCCGGCCAGCACCUGCCAAGGAGGCUACGUGAAGGGAAAGAUGGUGUUCUAGCCUUUGAUGAAUGUUUUGCGGCUGGGCUGACUUGUGACACUGAAUGGAGCGGCACGGGCGUCUUCCACGCUCCCUCUGGCGUGUGGCUGGGAUUGCACGAUUCUGCAGGCAUGGGCCACCUGGCACGGGUGGCAAGCCUCAACUUUGUGACGCGCUCUAGCUCCCUAUUCCCGGCAGCUUCUCCGUGGGCGAGACUGCAGGGCGGUCCACUGUGAAUGUGGACCGCUUCCCUGGGCUGGGCGGGACGGUCGCUGGAAUCACCGAAGCAGGCACCUGGUGACUCCGAGGAGCGCGCUCUGGGUUCUGUUCUCUCACGCGCCAUGGGCAGGGCUGGGCUGCCACCACACCCUGACCCUGAGCAAGUAGGUCCAGCCGUGGGCCUGCUUCCCUGUCCCAGGGUGACAGGACGGAGAGGAGCAGGCCGAGAGCUCACGAGGGAGAAGGAGGGUGUGGGCUCCCCUAGGGCUGAGGUUCCACGCACAGGUGACCAGGGGAUGGGUGGGAGGUCAGAGGUCAGGUGACAAAAAUGCUGCCAAAGCUUUCAUGAUUCAAAAAUGCCUGCUGUUGACUUUUCAUAAUAACUUUUAAUUUUGGAACAGUUUUAGAUUUAGAAUUUUACCAAAAAGGUAAUAAAGAGAGAGCCCAUAUCCCUCACAGAGUUCUCCUGUUAUUAACAUCUUAUGUUAGUAUGGUACAUUUGUCACAAUGAAUGAACCAAUAUUGAUACCUUUUUAUUAACUCAAAACCAGACUUUUUUCUGACCUCUCAGUGUUGCUCUGACGUCCUUUCUCUGUCCCAGGACCCCGUCCGGGACCCCACGUGACACAGCUGUCAUGUCUCCUCAGGCUCCUCUGGGCUGUGACAGUUUUCGGAUGGUUUUUGAUGACUUGGACAGUUUUGAGGAGAGCUGGUCAGGAUGGGGUUGUAGGCUUUGAGGAGGAAGACUACAGAGGUAAAGUGCCAUUUUCAUCGCAUCGUAUCCAGGGCACCACUGCCAACAUGACGUCCCUGCUGCUGUUGACCUUGAUCACCUGGCUGAGGAGAAAGUUGAUACGAAGUUCUGUGGACAUACGGGCAUUUCUCAGCUCUCACCUAUGGAGUUCUCCCAUCCCACAGGGGCUGGGAGUGUGCUUCACACAAGUAUACAACAGACCGCUGUGCUGGGAUGGGCCCUGAGGAGACGGCCCCCAGCAUGUGACAGGCGAGUCCUCUUCUGCUCUUGGCCACGCCCGGGCUCGCGGGAGGUGUUCUGUCCGAGCCUGAGAGGCGGCACUGACGGGCGGCUGCCUGGCCUGCCUGCUCCACGCCCACACUUCCACCAGGACUGGGGAGGACCUCCUGGGCGCUGGUGUCUGCCGUUCUUGGCAGUCCCAUGUGUCACUGGGACUUUCCUCAUAUUCACGUUCAAACAGAACCUACCCUGGAAAGGAAGAGGAGGGGCCCUCUGGGGGCUGGAAACAUUCCUUUCUUGAUUUGGUGGCUGGUUUCAGGGAUGUUUCUGGUUGGUGAAAAUUCAAGCUGUACAUUUUCUGUAUGUAUAUUAUACGUCAAUACAAAGUGAGCCAAAACAGAAACAAAAACUCUAAGAA